rnacentral:rRNA from 1 species
UAAGCGCAUAUUGAAACGGGUUGCGAGCUGCGUUGCCGUUUCGCUGGUGGGGGGUGCAUGCGGGUUGCCUUCGCCUCCGGCUCCGGUGCUUGGUGUUUUGGUCCGGUAGCGGGGGUUGUUUGUUUGCACGCUUCGAUGGUCUUUUGUCUUCGUUUGCGCGUUCCUGUUCGUUCACCGGUAGACAAGGAGCAGCGGAGGCGAAAGGGUUGGGGGUGACGGGGGGUCGGUUUAGGCGGCGGGCUAAGGCGACGGCGCGGCGGCUAGGGAGGGGGCAGGUACCGCUAGCCCGGGCCGUCGGCGGAGGGGCUGGAGGGUAAGAGGGCUAAGCCUUAAACUAUUCCAAAUCGCCGGACAGGCGGAGGGGCGUCGAGCAGGACGAGCUAACGACUAAACCAGCCCCCUUCCCUCAGAAGACGCCGAUUGCGAAGCCAUCUUAACGAGAGGCCCUCCGCCCCCCUCCCUCCCUACCCCUACGACAAGCACCUCAUGGAGGGCCCCGGGUUCCACAAGUUCACGUUCAAGACGUCCCAACUGAGCCGCAGCGGACUGCUGUAGCACAGGUUCCUCAAGGCACCGGCGGUGCCGGCGCGGAUGGAGAAGCUAUCGCACCACUUACACUCGGAACCAGGGUUACUCCUAGCGGUAGAGAACUGACCUAACGUAUGUCACUUGCUAUAGAUGACAUCGACGACGGUUGCUGAGGAACCGACCUUUAUACGCUUUCGGAUGUUGCUUCUGGUCUUCAUGUUUCUUCCUUUCAAGUAUGAUCUCUUCUUGUACUACGACUUUCUUCCUGCAAUCGACCACCCUUUACUACCAGACGACAGUUUCAGACGUUUUCGUCUGUAAGCGCUGACGCUUCACAUCGAUUUCUAAGCAACUAUGACUAAAGGACUUGUAACUAAUGAGACCACUGCCGGUAGUGGUGCUUUUACGUAAACACUUUAGACAACGGGACAAUGUAAACGAGCCGACCGGAGACUUUAUCAUGAGACAAUGGUCGAAAAGAACUAAGUUGGCACCUCCAAGUGUCUACA